AUUGGUUGAAAAAUUAUCCAUGGCUUUGUGGCUCUGGGUAAGAUUUAGCAACUGGAGCCUGUGGGGCCUCAGUUAACCACCCACUCUCGCUUGUGGGGUGAUGAAUCCCAGGCCCAGACUUAC